rnacentral:lncRNA from 1 species
AUGUGCUUAUCUCAGAGCAAAGCACCUGCAGCAAACAUUGCAGUGUGUGAUUCUUGGUGGAUUUUAAAAUGCAUCCAGGAUUUGGAGCUGACCUGGGAGGUGAGUUACUGCCUGCUUGGCCACGUGUUGGCAGGACCAUCUUCGACGUGCAGAAGACCCACCUGUGGCAGUGGCAGCAGUCCCUUUUCCUUACUGUGGUCUGUAGAAAUGCCCCAGAGUCAGGAUACCUGCUACCAUGCAGCUGGAAAUACUGUGGCAUGGAGAGAGAAGUGGAAGUGGAAAGGAGAUCAGAAAGGCUGGUUGCACACAACCUGA